GCUGAGGCUGGUUUGGAACUUUUGAUCCUCCGGCUUCAGCCUCCCAAGCCACUGGGAAUACAGGCGUGCAUCACCUAGCCCAACUCUUGCUGUGGUUUUAAUGUGGUUUGUUAUCACCAAAAUUCACACUGUGUCUAGGUACCUAAUGUGGCAGUGUUGGGAGUUGGUGCCUUAAAGAAUUGAUUAGGUCAUUGAGAGGGAAUAGUGCUUUUCUUGAGAAAGUAACUUCUUGCUAUCAUGGGACUGGAUUGAUUACCAUCUUUUUCUACACAAUCCUUCCAUGGGCUGCUAAUCCAGGAGGCUUUUACCAGAAGCUGAUGACAGUAUCAUGUACUUGGACCUCCAGAACUGUGAGCUAAAUAAAACUAUCUUCUUUAUAAGAUCUCAGGCAUUUUGCUAUAGCAAUGUAAAAUAGCCUCAGAUGCUUCUCAAGGAAUACUCACGUAUACAAAUUUAUUUAAUUCUUAAAACCAUGAAAAUUAGAUAUCAUUAUAAUCCCCAUUUUAUAAGUAAGGAAACUGAGUCCCAGAGUAGCUUAGUGAUUGUCACAGGUAUCUUGCCAGGAAGUAGUAGGAUUAUGACUCAAAUGAGUUUUAAACGCUUUGGUCUUCCCACUGCGAUGCCUGAGGGCUUGGAGAUAUUGCUGUGUCUGGAGAUGUUGCUGCUGCAGGACUAUCCAGUGGACCCUGAUGUACACUCGUCUAGUCCAGAGAUCGCACCAGGUGAAGUGAUUUAGUAUUCACAUUUGCGCCUCUGACCCUCAGAACGACUCCAUUCACAGUCCAGUCACCAGGUAAACCAGUCCAGUCAAUCCUGCUAGAGAAGUUCUGGGGAAUGAGAGGCUGUGUGGAGAAGCGUGGAGGCUGUUGUCUGUAAGAGUGCAUGAAGCAUCCUUCCCUGCAUAGAAAUGGCCCUCUUCUCUCAUCCUCUCCAGGACUCACCCCUGUCACAGUCUAGCUGGGCACAAAUCACGAGCCACUCAAGCAGGAACAAACUUUAUUUCGGAACUCCACCAGCACA